rnacentral:rRNA from 1 species
GACAGAGGGGGCAAGCGUUGCUCGGAAUUACUGGGCGUAAAGGGCGCGUAGGUGGCCUGCUAAGCGUGCGGUGAAAGCUCGGGGCUCAACCCCGAGUCGGCCGUGCGAACUGGUGGGCUUGAGCACUGUAGAGGCAGGCGGAAUUCCGGGUGUAGCGGUGGAAUGCGUAGAGAUCCGGAAGAACACCGGUGGCGAAGGCGGCCUGCUGGGCAGUAGCUGACACUGAGGCGCGACAGCGUGGGGAGCAAACAGG